GACUCGGUGGCGGAGGGUCCGCGUCCACAACUCAUAAAGGGAGGAGAAGACUAUUGACUGUGGAAGUCGUCUGUUGGAAUCAGGCCCGAGUCA